CCGGCCCUCCCACUGACUCGCUGACCGGGGACUUUGUCGCACCCAUUGCUGCCGAAAUUGCUUCUACCAGUUGAUCUGACUUUGUACGAAGUAAACUUGUGGUACUCGGUUUAUCCAUCAUUUUCCUUUAUAUUUACAUGCAAAUAUGCAAAUGCAGACGUUAAUUUAUAAUAAGAUAAAAGGAUUUAACUUAUAUAGUGUGAAGGUAUAAAAAGUAAAUUAUUGAAAACAUAAUAGAAAAAAGAUUAAUACAUGUAAAUUAAGGCGCCCAUUUUAUCUAUUAGUAGAAUGCAUCUAGUUACGUUUUCUGACUAGUAUUUUCCUAUAUAGCAUACCUUUUUACUCUAAGAUUUCUAUCUUUCGGUUAUGUUUUUCUCACUUUAUGUUACUAAAUUCUCCAGUUAGUUCAAAAUAUUCUAUUAAUGAUCAAAAGACUACAAAAAAAGAAAAAAAAAUAAGGAAAAGAAACAAUUCUAGAAAGAAAAUAUACAUACCUUUAAAAUUUUCAAAAUUCGAAGCAAACACUAAUUAAUAUAUGAAGUGAAACAUGUAUUUCGUAGGUUUUUUGCUGACUAGUUUCUUUAAUUUGUCAUUCUUGGGAGGGGAGAGGAGAAGUGGGAGAUUAUUUAGAAAUUGACAAUUGGUUAUCAACCCCCAUUUUCAACCGAGAGGUUGUGAGUUCGAGUCUCCCCAAGAACAAGGUGGGAAGUUCUUUGAGGGAAGGAUGUCGGGGGUCUAUUUGGAAACAGCCUCUCUACCACAAGGUAAGGGUAAAGUCUGCGUACAUACUACCCUUCCCAAACCCCUCUAAGUGAGACUAUACAGGUUGUUGUUGUUGACAAUUGGUUGUCACCUAAUGUCUAAUGGCAGAGACCGUAUUGGCUGCGGAUUAUCCUGAAUUUCUUUUUUAAAAAAAAUUCUAAAUGAUUGCUACCAAAAACAUACAUAAGAGAAGGAGGGAACUAAAUCAGUCUAAAAAGAAGAACACUAGAAGAUGAUCAGUUGCAAACUUUCAUACCUUAGUACAACUUAAAAAAGGCUUAAGCAGAAAGAAGAGUAGUGGAGAGAACUAUACAACUCAAUGCUUCACUUCUCUUGACUCUUUAAAAUUUACAUUGGCUCUUUAAGAUUUACAUUGCCAAAGUGCAAUCUUUUUUCUUUUAUAGCAGCAAUAAAGAGAGGGAGAGUUGCAAUUACGUGAAUACCCUUGCCCAUUUGAUAAAUCAUUAAUCCCCCAUUUUGCAUAAUAAUUCCAGCAGAGGUGAGAAACACUUAAUAUUAGUGAUAUUAAUAGUUCGGUUUGAAUUUUUUUUUUAAAAAGAAAUCAAAUUAAAUAGGUUGGUUUUUCAAAUAUUAGAACCAAAUCAAACCAAAUCAAUUAAGUCGGUUUUUCUCGAUUUGGUUUAUGUCGGCUUUUCGAUUUUUUAGUUAUUUGUCGGUUUUUUCUUAAAUAUAAGACGUACACUACCAAACACAUAUUCCGGCGACCAAAUUUUCAAUGUAACACUAUCAAAUCAAUUGCCCUUUGAGAAAUCUAUUAUUUACAAAAAUAUAUUGAUGAUAAUUGAAUCAAAUGGUGAUGAAUAAUUUAAGGGUUCAAUUAAAAAUAUAUUAUUUUUAACACAAAAUAAAUUCUUACACUAAACAAAAGAAAACUACCAAUCAAAUUAGAAUGUAAAGGUAAAGAAUUAUAUUAAAAGUACAAUCUAUUAAUAUUUACCAUAAAUUAAUUUUUUGAAACUUUGUAUAAUAAUAUACAUAUAUAUAAGUGUAAUAAUAUAUUUGAAAUAGCUAUUUUUAUGGUCGGUUUGGUUCGAUUUUUUUCUGAUUAAAUCAAAACCAAACUAAAUUUGAUUGAUUUUAAAAAUUUAAAACAAAAACCAAAUCAAACCAAAAAUAUUAAUUUUUUGAUCGAUUUAAUUUAAUUUUUCAGUUUUUUAUGAUUACCGUGCUCGACAUAAAUGCAAAAGAUAUGAUAAAUAUUUUUCAUAUAGACAUGAACAACAAACAUCAAUUUUGUUUGUCUAGUCCAAAUCAUCCUAGUCGUACACGUGUCCGGACAUUUUGCUGUCCCAACUUUGUUUCCUCUUGAGAAAUCAUCAUCACUUGGAAGUCUAUUCGUCAUCUCAUUUCGUACAAAACUCAUUGAAUUAGCAUAUACAUGAUACAUUUACUAGCCAUGCCUUCACAAUUCGGUACUUAAUUUGUCCUAGCUCUUUAACCAGAGACAUAGUUAACAUUUUUAUUUUUAUAGAUUUGGAAUUUUAGAACCAGAAUUUUAAGUGUUAGUAAUUAGAUUUUAAUUUCAAUUUGUACCUAUUAUGUUUAUUUUUUCAGACUUGUUCAUCCCAUUUGUGCAAAUACUCUAUCCUUUUAGGAUCUUUCCAUUUUCAUCUGUAACAUGAUAGCAAUGUUUUUUAGAGGGAGAACUUAUCCUUAUUGAAGGUGUUACGGACUAAGACAUGAGUAGAAACAUGCGACUUACAACAACAACCUAGUAUAAUCUCAUUUAGUGGGGUCUGGGGAGGGUAGUAUGUAUGCAGACCUUAUCUCUACCCUGAGGUAGAGAGACUGUUUCCAAAUAGAUCUCCGGCAUCCUUCCCUUCAAGAACUUCCCACCUUGCUCUUGGAGAAAUUCGAACUCACAACCUCUAGAUUAGAAGUGGGAUUGCUUACCAUCAGAGCAACCCCUCAAACAAGCGACUUACUAUUUUUCAAAAUUGAUGAUGUUAAAGUUUUUCUUGAAUUUUUAUUAUUAGGUCAAUUUAUGAAGCCUUUUUGCAUUGAUGAUGUCUAACCUUAUUAGGGAAGCACAAUGCCGCCAUUUAAUCAAACGGUAGAAGGCGACAGAGGAAAAUGAAUCGAAAUUGCAAGAUUGGAGGGUGAAGUUCUUGUCAAUGCAUAACCCAAAGGCUAUUGUCCCAUUCUAAUAUUACCUUGCUUCUAGGGCACAAGAGUUUUGGAGCAUUGCCACGAUUCAUGUGCACAAUUUCUUAUUGCAUUUGGGUAUUUUUUAUGAAUAUUAUCACUUGGUCGUUUUGUUUAUGCCAUGCCUAUCAAAGAUGAUUCUUCUCAAAAGAAUAUAUUGAAGUGCUAGUUCCUCA
rnacentral:lncRNA from 1 species